rnacentral:sRNA from 1 species
AUGAAAUCCGACUUUAAACCUAAAAACCAAAGACCUUAUAGACUUCCACCUGAUAAAAAAGAGGCCUUACGUGAACACCUUGAUGAACUCCUUCGUCAAAAUAUAAUAGCGCCAGUCAGUGAAACUGAGGAUGUUCCAAUAAUCAGUCCUAUUGUUUUGGUUUCAAAACAAGAUCGAAACAAGAAACAACAAGAAAAUUCACAAAAGAGCAGUGCUAAGUACAGAUUUUGUUGCGACUUUCGCUAUUUAAACUCCCAAGUUCAAGAUUUUUCGUAUUUUAUUCCUGAUCUGACCGAACUAACUGAAUCAUUUUCUGGGAAAACUCCAAAUUAUCUGGCUUCAAUCGACUUAAGCUCAGGAUUUUUCCAAAUGCCUGUAGAUAAAGACAGCCAAAAGUACACUGCGUUCAAUACAUGUUUUGGAACUUUCAAAUUUCGUCGACUUCCAAUGGGGUUAAGUUCUGCGCCUUCAUCAUUUCAGUUAUUGAUGGAUAAAAUUCUACAGGGAUUGACAUUUAAAGUGUGCUUAUGUUACUUGGAUGAUAUUCUUAUAGCAUCAGAAACUUUUGACCAACAUAUCGAUGACUUGAACACUGUUUUCGGCCGCUUGAAAGAAGCCGGUCUUAAACUAGGACCCAAGAAAUGUAGCUUUGCACAGCAGUCAUGCGUUUUUCUGGGGCAUUUAAUUUCCAGCAAAGGCAUUCAGCCCCCACCGGAAAGGUUGCAAGCGAUCAAGGAUUAUCCUUCUCCAAAAUCUGUUAAAGAACUACGCCGUGUCGUCGGUCUACUAAAUUGGUUUAGAAAAUACAUUCCAAAUUUCAGCUCAGAAAUAGAACCAAUGACAAAAUUACUUAGGAAAAAUAUGAAAUUUCGGUGGUCUGCGGAGCAAGAAAAAUGCCUUUCAAAAACUGAAAAAAAAUUGCUUUUAAAUUCACCAGUUCUUGCAUUUCCAAAUUACAAUAUACCAUUUCAUUUGGCUGUUGAUACAUCCAGUAAGGGCAUAGGAUACGUUCUUUACCAGAUUCAUACUGAUGAGCAUGAAGAGGACAUGAUCAGAGUGGUCCGUUUUGGGUCAAAAUCAUUAAGUCGUUGGCAAAGAUCUUAUGGCCCCACCAAACUUGAAUUACUUGGAAUGGUGACUGCAAUUCUUGAUUGUUCUGUAUACUUGCGUGGGCGUAGAUUUAUCGUUGAAUGCGAUCACCAGGCUUUAAAGCCUUUGUUUCAAAAACAGCUGAAGGGAGCAAUUUAUGAGCGCUGGAUCGCCAUACUCCAACAAUAUAAUUUUGAUCUUCGCUAUAAACCAGCAAGGGAUAUGCAGGUUGCCGAUGCCCUAUCGCGUAUUCCGCGACAGGAGAUUUCCGAUGGAUUUAUUAGUCCUGAUAUUGAAGACCCAUAUUUCCCGUAUAAGGAGGAAAUCGUAGGUGAUAUAAACAUUGAAGGUGGAUACAAAUUUCCAUCAUUUAGACAUUCGGAUUCUAGUGAAAACGACCAGAUAAACAAUAUUCGAGUUGAUCAAAAUUUAACAUCAAAUUUCAAUUUAUUAAAUCCGGAUCAUCAACACAAACCCGACUUACAAACGACAGCAGAAUAUGAUGCCGAUACGGAAGAUGAUGUUCCUUGCAAACAAAACAAACUAAAACGCAAAAUUGUUUCAAAGAGAAAAUUACUUUCCAUUCCAAAUUUGAGAAUAAAUCCGUCCGAAAAUAACCCAGUUUCAGUAAACAACACAGAUAUAGAGAUCGUUUCCGACAAUGAUAUGAAACAAAAUAUUGAAAUACAAAAUCCGACAAAUACCGUAGAUACCGAUAUAAGCGUACCAUCAACAGAUCGUAGUAGUGAUGAUCAAUCAACUGUUUUAAAUGAACAUGAUUCGGAUAUUUUCAAUCUUACAACGGAUGUGAAUACGGAUCAUCAGGAUAACCAAAUGAGACGUCAAGUUGAAAUGAUAGAUCUGUUCGAGAGAUCUGACUUUAGUGUAGAAAGUUUAAGCAAUCUACAACGGAAAGAUUCAGAAUACGGAAAAUUUGUUUCGUACUUGGAUAAGGGAGAACUGCCGAAAUCACAAAAAGAGGCCCGAAAACUACUUUUGCAAUCGCCUGAUUUUAUGUUGAUAAACGGAUUACUUUUUCAUUCUCGAAUUGCAAAAUCAAAGCGCGCUAAAAAUCUAAAAAAUUACCAACUAGUUUUACCAGCAGUUGUAGUGAAAACCGUUAUUUCUAUGUAUCAUGACUCAUCUCUUGGCGGACAUGGCGGAAUACAACAUACAAUUGACUUAAUAAAGGAAAAAUAUUUCUUUUCAAAAUUGGCGCAGAAAAUUUCUGACUAUAUAAAAAGUUGUCCGGCAUGUCAAAGAAGGAAAUUGACAAAAAUCAACACUAAGGCCGGAAUUGUCGCAUACCGUACGCCAGAUUCGCCGUUUCAAGUGUGGCAAAUCGACAUUUUUGGACCAAUAAAUCCAAUAUCUCCAACAGGAAAUCAAUAUGUUUGCACGGCGAUUGACCUUUUUAGUAAGUUUGUAUUUGCCGAGGCUAUUCCUACCGCCGAUACUAUUACAGUGUCUGAAGUUUUAUUCAGGAUGGUUUCGCAGUUUGGUGUAUUUGAUACUAUAAUCAGCGAUCAAGGCUCCGAAUUCAUCAGUAAAUGUUUCAAAGAAGUUUGCCGGUUACUAGACAUAAAUCAUGAAUACACCCCGAGUUUUGCACAUCACUGUCUGGGUGCGUGCGAACGUUCGCAUAGAACUUUAGCCGAACGCAUGACUCCAUACAUUGCAGAUGGUAAGAACUGGCAAGAUUUAUUACCUUGUAUUCUUUUCUCAAUGAACAAUACCGUUAACGCCAGUCUAGGAUAUUCUCCAUUUGAGAUAGUUUACGGCAGGAGGCCUAAUUUUCCAUUAACCGGACAUUUUAGACAGGAUAUAAACACGCUUCCAAACGAUUGUCAUGAAUAUGUUCAAAAUUUGUGCGCAAGAUUAGAAAUAAUUCGAUCAGAAGUGAAAGAACAUGCAUUAACUUCUCAAAUAAAAAUGGUGGAACGUGUAAAUGACAGUUUGAACCCUCUACAGUACGCAGAACAUGAUUAUGUUUAUCUCAGCAAAAAUCCUACAGGACAGGGACAAAAACUGAAAUACCGUUAUGCUGGGCCAUAUAUCAUUCAUAAAAUUCACAGUCCUCAUAUGGUAGUUUUGAAGGACCCAGAUUCACAAAAAUGCCUUCCGAAUCCUAUUCACAUUAAUCGGGAUAAAACCGGCGUACGUGCGUCAACCAAAUCCUGCACAAUACUUCAUGGAUCAAGUUGAAACAAAAAUACAUGUAAAUACAACCACGGACCAAAAUACUGCAUCGGACUUCUCUGAAACAAGUGAAUUAUCGAAUACGACAGUGUCACAUUCUGAAAUAAAUGACAAUGAUUCAAAUGAUACAGAGAACGACACAGGAAAAAUUUUGAUGAAUAACAAUUCAAACAAUGCGACAGACGAACAAACAAAAAAGUGCAAAGGGAAAAGUAUUCAGUCCCCAAUCCGGAAAUCAACCCGAUUAAAAAAGAAACCAGCUCGGUUUGAAGAUGAAAGUUUCACCGAUCCAGGAGACAAAACUGUUUCGAGUGAUGAAAAUCGUUUUUACAAAGUUAAACGAAUACUUGCUAGGAAAAUUAUGGACGGAACAAUGAGUUAUUUAGUUCAUUUUAUUGGAGAACCGGCUCAAAAUGCCCGUUGGCUAAAGGAGUCCGAUUUUGACAAGAAAACCCGUGAUUUGAUAAAACGCCGACUACCUCCACAAAUUCUAUGAGUCGUUUUGUGUCCGUGAGGUUUACCUCAUGAUACACCGUUUUUUUAAUGUUUUAUUCAGUGUUUAAUUUUAUGGAAUGCUCAUAUUGUACAUAUUAAACGAAUUUUGUUGUAAAAUUCAAGACAAUUGCCAAUUUGAACAAUUUAUACUUUAAUGCUUGACGAGGAUGUUUAUUUCGAACCUUUUUGUCCUUGAGUUUUAUCUCAUGACAAGUUACCCGGAUGUUUACAGUGAUGCUUUACUGGAACUUUUUGUCCGUGAGAUUUAUCUCAUGACAAUUUAUUAAUCUGUGUACAGCGAUGCUUUUCUUGAACUUAUUGUCCGUGAGAUUUAUCUCAUGACAAUGCCCUAUGAUGAUGGUACAACGACUUUUUCUGGCGAACUUUUCAUGUUUUUGUCCGUGAGAUUUAUCUCAUGACAAUCCGUUACUAUGAUGUCAGAUGAAAUUCAGUACAGAGCGGAGCCCAAUUUCAAUGUUAUUCAAUGAGACUUUUUU